rnacentral:rRNA from 1 species
ACCCUAUUAUAAAAAAUGUAAAUUAGAAAUAUUAGAGUAGUAUUAGCUAUAUUCUUGAAAUUUAAAAAAUUUGGCGGUAUUUUAGUCUUUUCAGAGGAACCUGUCUUGUAAUUGAUAAUCCACGAUAAGUUUUACUUAAUUUACAAGUUUAUAUAUCGUCGUAGGUUGAAUAUCUUAAAAGAGUAUUAAUAUUCAUGAUUUAAGAUAAUAAAAUAAAUCAGAUCAAGGUGUAGCUUAUAAUUAAGGAGUGAUGGGUUACAAUAAAUUUAUUUAUAUAGUUAUAAUAUUUUAAUAGAUUAUUUAAAGUGGAUUUGAGAGUAAUAUAUUUUAUAUUAAAGUAUAUGAUUGAAGCUCUAAAAUAUG